GAUGAACGCUGGCGGCGUGCCUAAUACAUGCAAGUCGAGCGAACGGACGAGAAGCUUGCUUCUCUGAUGUUAGCGGCGGACGGGUGAGUAACACGUGGAUAACCUACCUAUAAGACUGGGAUAACUUCGGGAAACCGGAGCUAAUACCGGAUGAUAUUUUGAACCGCAUGGUUCAAAAGUGAAAGACGGUCUUGCUGUCACUUAUAGAUGGAUCCGCGCUGCAUUAGCUAGUUGGUAAGGUAACGGCUUACCAAGGCAACGAUGCGUAGCCGACCUGAGAGGGUGAUCGGCCACACUGGAACUGAGACACGGUCCAGACUCCUACGGGAGGCAGCAGUAGGGAAUCUUCCGCAAUGGGCGAAAGCCUGACGGAGCAACGCCGCGUGAGUGAUGAAGGUCUUCGGAUCGUAAAACUCUGUUAUUAGGGAAGAACAUAUGUGUAAGUAACUGUGCACAUCUUGACGGUACCUAAUCAGAAAGCCCCGGCUAACUACGUG
rnacentral:rRNA from 1 species